rnacentral:rRNA from 1 species
GUGUCAGCCGCCGCGGUAAGACAGAGGUGCCAAGCGUUAGGCGGAAUCACUGGGCUUAAAGCGUGUGUAGGCGGACUGACAAGUACCUUGUGAAAUCCCACGGCUCAACCGUGGAACUGCUUGGUAUACUGUUGGUCUUGAGGCAUCUAGGGGCAACUGGAACAAACGGUGGAGCGGUGAAAUGCGUAGAUAUCGUUUGGAACGCCAAAGGUGAAAACAGGUUGCUGGGGAUGUACUGACGCUGAGACACGAAAGCCAGGGGAGCAAACGGGAUUAGAAACCCCCGUAGUCC